UUGCUGAUGACAAAGAAAACGAAGACAAAGUGAAGUUGCCUGUUCUCUCUCCUCAUUCCUCACUCUCCUUAACCGGUAAACCCUAAUCCCUCAUCUCUCUCCUCUUCAGAUCUGCUCCUUCCUUCUUCCUCCUUCCUCCUCCCUCUCAAUCCACCGGAGCAACGGACGCUUAUUGAAGAGAUAGAGACUGAGGAGAGAGAAAGUGAAACAAGAAAAAAAGAAUCCAAAAAAAGGGUUUCUUCAACUCUCCAUCUCUAAGAAGCUUAGGGUUUUUCUUUCCUUCUCAAUUCGCCUCAAUCUUUUUUGUCAAUUUCCUCCAAUUAUCAGGUUGUACAUACACAAGCCCAUUAUUUGUUUGAUGAUGCAGCAAGCCAUCAAGGAAGGGAAGUUAGUCCCUGCUGCAAAACAUUUUUGUAAUUUACGAGAGUUAGAAUAUCGGAAGAAAUGUGACUUUGAAGCUUUUGUUGUCA